rnacentral:rRNA from 1 species
UACGGGGGAUGCAAGCGUUAUCCGGAUUUAUUGGGUUUAAAGGGUGCGUAGGCGGCCUGUUAAGUCAGCGGUGAAAUUUAGGGGCUCAACCUCUACCGUGCCGUUGAUACUGGCGGGCUUGAAUGCGGAUGCCGUGGGAGGAAUGUGUGGUGUAGCGGUGAAAUGCAUAGAUAUCUCACAGAACACCGAUUGCGAAGGCAUCUCACGAAUCCGCAAUUGACGCUGAGGCACGAAAGCGUGGGGAUCAAACAGG